rfam:Ancylostoma ceylanicum strain HY135 Acey_s0340_scaf, whole genome shotgun sequence.
GAGCCAUGAUGACAAACUUAGGACACCUUUGGAGGGCUGUGCCUCUGUGAAAGGACUCUAUUAGCCUUACUGAGCUCU